rnacentral:lncRNA from 1 species
CUAAUAGGUGAGAUUUUGGAAGGCAUAUAUAGAAUCCAUCCAUGGAACUCAGCAAUUCCCCUCUGCUGUAGGUAGUGACAUACUUGAUUCAUGCAUUUUAUAAUUCAGCUCCACUGUUCUGAUAUCCCAGGUAUCUAAUGGACAACUGUGGAAGAUCAUUCAUUGGGGAAGGGUUAGUGUAGUGCAGAAGAGAGAGGUUCCUUUUGUUUUCAGAGCACCUCACUGCCCUAUUCACCUCAUCUGGCUGGAAUUCAAAAUUCAGGUCAUAAAGACAGGAGAGGACACAUUUUGUCCUUUCUUUUUAUGUCUUUCCAUUUUGUAGAGAAUGAUGAUGUGAGGUAGCAAAGAGCAGAAGAUAAAAGCAUAACACUAAGCAGGUCCCCAUCAAAGAUUUCUAGAUACUCUGGGCCUUUUACUCAUCAUGCAGAAAGGAAGCAGAGGUUGCUGAAUAUCAGAUAGUGUCCUUAGUGAUGAAGUUGGUCUGAAUACAGAAACAUUUUGGGGACUAUAAAUCAAGAUUCUGACAUUAGCAGACAGGUGAUAAAAUGAAUAAAAUCAGUGAAACUUUAAAUCAAAAGUAACAUUGCCAAUUUUCCUUAUAGGUGCGAGGAAAUAAACCACCUAUUUUCCGUACCUUUCCUCGGAAGCAUAGAAUUCAUGUGCUUGAGGCUCCUGGUGACAUUGAGCCAACUCAUUCCACCUGUGCUGCUGACAGCAGGGCUCCUGCUGAUGCUGAGCCAAAUUCUUCCACCUGUGCUGCUGUCAAUG